rnacentral:rRNA from 1 species
AAUGCUAGACCUCUUGGUCUUAGCCAUGGUUUCCUCUCCUAUUUGGUUGCAGUACGCUGUUGGGACUUUGGGAUGGCUAGAACAUUCAAUUGGCUGUGAUGAUCUCUUACUAAGGUCUUGUCUCCAGUUGUAGCUUUGCACCUGCAACAGCCAACAGAUACUCUCCUUCCAGGCCAAUUUCUGAUUGGUAGCUAGACCCUAACUCUCAAAAUAUGGUACUUUCAUGUUGGGUUUCAAAUGCCCAUUUCCUCCAUGUGGUUUAGGUUUCACGUUUGGCAUAUGGUCAUUAGAUCAUCACCUUAUAGCCCUCUUUAAUCUUGGCGUCCGUUGAGGAUCAUGUCGUCUUUAACCCUUGGUAUUGGCGUAUUACUAGGGUACUCUAUCAGUUCUGUGUAUCUGUAAUUCGGUAGUAGGGUACUCUGGCUCUGGCUCUGUGUUGUGGUCUUGGUGAUCUGCUCCAGCCUCCAGAGAGUAGUACGAUGACGAUUGAAACUGUUGUUCUACUGAUGGCAGAUGUGUUAGCAGUCAUCCUUAUUGGUCUGGUUCUUUUGCGAGUAAUGGGAAAACAGAAGUUUUGUACGGCGGAUAAACCAGUGAAUUCCAAUAGCGGCCUCACGAUCUUCUCGGAUACUCAGAUAAAGAGAGCAACUAGAAAUUUCUCGGAGAAACUUGGAGAAGGAGGCUUCGGCUGUGUUUUCAAGGGGACAUUGCAAGGUUCCUCCGUGGUGGCCGUCAAAAAGCUUAAAGACAUUAGGCAAGGGGAGAAGCAAUUCCGAGCAGAAGUGCAAACAGUUGGAAUCAUCCAGCACAUCAAUCUUGUUCGUUUAUAUGGGUUUUGUGCCGAGGGAAGCAAGAGGUUGCUGAUAUACGAGUACAUGGAGAACGGAUCUUUGAGUUCCCAUCUGUUUUCAAGGACUUCUGUAAAGCUAAUCUGGGAGCUCCGGUACCGUAUAGCAUUUGGGAUUGCAAGAGGCUUGGCUUAUCUACACGAGGAAUGCGAGGACUGCAUUAUACACUGCGACAUGAAGCCGGACAAUGUGCUCCUUGAUGCACAUUUCUGUCCUAAGAUUGCAGACUUCGGUAUGGCGAAGCUUCUUGGUCGAGAUUUCAACAGGGCCCUGACAACAAUGCGGGGAACCAUCGGAUACCUUGCACCGGAGUGGAUCUCGGGGCUUCCCAUCACACACAAAUCUGAUGUUUACAGCUACGGAAUGACACUUCUUGAGAUUAUAUCAGGGCGAAGGAAUGCAGAGAAAAUUAAGGAAGGGAGGUUCACUUACUUUCCCAUCUUUGCUGCAGUCAAGGUGGCCGAAAGAGAUGUCAUGUGCCUGCUGGAUAGUUGGCUGGAUGGCUAUGUCAAUGUCGAGCAGCUGAGCAGAGCUUGCAAGAUCGCAUGCUGGUGCAUCCAAGAUGAUGAGGAUCACAGGCCAAUGAUGGGGCAAGUUGUUCGCAUGCUAGAGGGUGUCAUGGAUGUUGAAGUGCCUUCUGUUGCGAGAACUAAACGAGUCUAUGCUUUAACUGGCCAAAGAGAAGAAAGAAAGAUUUUGGGAACCAGAUCCUCUGACUUGCACAAGGCAAGUUAG